AACUUGCCCAAUCAUAAUGUAACAAAAAUGAUACAACUGAUUGAUCACAGCCAGUUGCAGAGUUCUUUGUUCUUUUUCCACUCCUACUGCUUCACUUGACUAGCCUUAA
rnacentral:sRNA from 1 species